UACGAAGGGAGCUAGCGUUGUUCGGAAUUACUGGGCGUAAAGGGCGCGUAGGCGGCUUGAUAAGUUUGAUGUGAAAGCCCUGGGCUUAACCUAGGAACAGCAUUGAAUACUGUCAGGCUAGAGGCCGAGAGAGGGAAAUGGAAUUGCGAGUGUAGAGGUGAAAUUCGUAGAUAUUCGCAAGAACACCAGUGGCGAAGGCGAUUUCCUGGCUCGGUACUGACGCUAAGGCGCGAAAGCGUGGGGAGCAAACAGG
rnacentral:rRNA from 1 species